GGGGCGGGCGCGGAGCCCCACGGUGUCGGUCCCGAAUGCGCCAGGCGCUCCGGGGCAGCCCAGAUGCUCCAAGGUACAAAGACGCACAUGGUGGAGGGCGACCGGUUGUCACAUCCUCAUAUCACCACCGCCUCCCGAAAGUGCUCCAGACAGCCCAAACGUCCCCCAUUGCACGUACUGGGAAGGGGCCUUCUCAGGUGAGGUACUUGUUGGGAUCCGAUUUGGGGGUCCUGAACCCACCAGAGCAGGUCACCUCGGCUCUUGAGUCAGGAUGCACGUCUUGAAAUCCUCACCAGGACUCGGUUCCCGUGACCCUUUACAGAGGUAAAUCCAAGCCCGUGAGAAGCUGACAAGAGAUGAAGCCGAUUACUUGGAGGGAGUCCACCAAGAGACUGUUAGCUUCCAAAGAAGGCUGCUGAUUUAACUAAGCCAUGAGCGCACCCCUUUCUCCUCCGCCAGAGCAGGCACCUUCUGAGCGACAGAUAGGAUAACCGAGGGUGGCAACUUGGCCAGGCUUGCAUAACCAGCAGGGGUGCCUGACAAAACCCUCCUCCUAUGGCACUCAUAUGAGUGCCUCCUGUGUGCUAACCGUUACUCUAAGC